UCCUCGUGGCAUUUUUUUUUUUUUUUUUUUUUUUUCUU
rnacentral:ribozyme from 11 species